AAGGAACGCUGGCAGCGUGCAUAACACAUGCAAGUCGAACGAUGAAGCAUUCUUCGGAAUGUGGAAGAGUGGCGAACGGGUGAGGAACACGUAAGAAUCUGCCCCUCGGUCGGGGACAACUUUUGGAAACGAAAGCUAAUACCCGAUACGCUGUGGAGUGAAAGAAUUUCGCCGAGGGAUGAUCUUGCGUCUGAUUAGCUAGUUGGUGCGGUAAUGGCGCACCAAGGCAACGAUCAGUAGCUGGUCUGAGAGGAUGAACAGCCACAUUGGAACUGAGACACGGUCCAAACUCCUACGGGAGGCAGCAGUGGGGAAUUUUCCGCAAUGGACGAAAGUCUGACGGAGCGACGCUGCGUGAAGGAUGACGGCCUGCGGGUUGUAAACUUCUUUUCUCGAAGAAGAAGCUCUGACGGUAUUCGAGGAAUAAGCAUCGGCUAACUCCGUGCCAGCAGCCGCGGUAAGACGGAGGAUGCAAGUGUUAUUCGGAAUGAUUGGGCGUAAAGCGUCUGUAGGCUGUAUAGAAAGUCUUUUGUUAAAUACCUCGGCUCAACCGAGAUCCAGCAAAGGAAACUUCUAUACUUGAGGUAAGUAGAGGUACAGGGAAUUCCCGGUGGAGCGGUGGAAUGCGUAGAUAUCGGGAGGAACACCAAUAUGGCGAAGGCACUGUACUGGGCUUUACCUGACGCUCAGAGACGAAAGCUAAAGGAGUGAUUAGGAUUAGAUACCCUAGUAAUUUUAGCCGUAAACGAUGAANACUCACUGCCGAGCGAAAUACAACGAGCGGUGGUCAAGCUAACGCGUGAAGUUUUCCGCCUGGGGAUUACGCUUGCAAAAGUGAAACUCAAAGGAAUUGACGGGGACCCGCACAAGCGGUGGAGUAUGUGGUUUAAUUCGAUGCAACACGAAGAACCUUACCAGGGUUUGAAAUCAUUUCAAAACUCCUUGAAAGAGGAGCCUCCUUCGGGAUGAAAUGACAGGUGGUGCAUGGCUGUCGUCAGCUCGUGUUGUGAAAUGUCGAGUUAAGUCUCGUAACGAGCGCAACCCAUGUCUCUUGNNGCUCAUUGAGUGNUUANNANNNNCUGCCGACCAANNNC
rnacentral:rRNA from 1 species